rnacentral:rRNA from 1 species
GCGAGUGAAGCGGCAAAAGCCCAAAUUUGAAAUCCUCUUUUGAGGAGUUGUAAUUUGGAGAUGGAGUGCUGGACUCAGCUCUGUGGAAGUUGGCUGGAAAGCCGCGCCUUGGAGGGUGAUAGCCCCGUGCCACGGAGGUCCUGUGUCUGUGUAGUACUCUUUCUACGAGUCGCGUUGUUUGGGAAUGCAGCGCUAAGUGGGUGGUAAAUUCCAUCUAAGGCUAAAUAUUGGCGAGAGACCGAUAGCGAACAAGUACUGUAAAGGAAAGAUGAAAAGCACUUUGAAAAGAGAGUGAAAUAGCACGUGAAAUCGUUGAAGUGGAAGGGCUUAAAGCUACACACCUUCUUCGGAAGGGGCUAACAUCAGUUUUGCCGGAUGGAUAAAUGGUAAAGAAAGUGGCAUUUUCGAAUGUGUUAUAGCUUUAUCAAAUACGUCCCGGCGGGAUUGAGGACCGCGCUUUAUGCAAGGAUGUUGGCGUAAUGGUUUUAAGCCACCCGUCUUGAAACACGGACCAAGGAGUCUAUUGCUCAUGCGAGUGUUUGGGUGUUAAACUCGCAACGCGAAAUGAAAGUGAACGUAGAUUGGACCCGUUUGGUGCACAAUCGACCGAUCCUGAUGUUCUCGGAUGGAUUUGAGUAAGAGCAUGAGUGAUGGGACCCGAUAGAUGGUGAACUAUACCUGGUCAGGGUGAAGCCAGAGGAAACUCUGGUGGAAGCUCGCCGCAGUCCUGACGUGCAAAUCGGUUGUCAAAGCUGGGUAUAGGGGCGAAAGACUAAUCGAACCAUCUAGUAGCUGGUUCCUGCCGAAGUUUCCCUCAGGAUAGCUGUAGCUCGUAUCAGUUUUAUGAGGUAAAGAAAUGAUUAGAGGUAUUGGGAUUGAAACGAUCUUGACCUAUUCUCAAACUUUGAAUAUGUAAAAAGCCCCCCUUGCUUAAUUGAAGGCGGGCCCUUGAAUGAAGAGCUAUAAGUGGGCCAUUUUUGGUAAGCAGAACUGGCGAUGCGGGAUGAACCGAACGCGGAGUUAAGGUGCCGGAGUGUACGCUCAUCAGACACCAGAAAAGGUGUUAGUCCAUCUAGACAGCCGGACGGUGGCCAUGGAAGUCGGAAUCCGCUAAGGAGUGUGUAACAACUCACCGGCCGAAUGAACUAGCCCUGAAAAUGGAUGGCGCUCAAGCGUACCACCUACACUCCGCCACUAGUCUUAUUAUAUGGGCUAGUGAGUAGGCAGG